CUCUUUAACAGUGUAAAAAAAUCAGUAUGCAUGAAAUAGCAUUUCACCCCCCCUUUAAGUCUUUCGAACAAUUACAGCAUGAGUUUAAUAUUUCUCAAGUCCACUUUUUCGAUAUUUACAAAUGAGAAGUUACCUUAAUUCUAUUGACUAUUAUAAACAAGGUGGGAAAACGAAUGUGCUCGAUAGUAUUUUAUUAAAGACAGCUGCACUGAAAAGUAAAGCAAUUACAUAUAUUUAUGAUCAAGUUACAGCAAAUAAUAAAGGUUUAAUAAAUAUUAAACAAAGUUGGGAACUUGAUUUUGGUGUUAUACUGGAAGACCAGAUAUGGAGCAAAGUAUUAGAUCAUGCAAGACAAAUUACCAAAUCAAACAAAUCAUAUGAAGUACAAUAUAAAAUUAUUAACAAGUUGCAUGUGACUCCUUUAAUUCGAAGUAAAUAUGACGCAUGUACAAAAUUCUGUUUGAAGUGUAAAAGGGAAAACAGAACUUAUUUCCAUUUAAUAUGGACCUGUCCUUUAAUUGCUUCAUUCUGGUCUUCUGUUGUUCAGGAAAUUGAAAGAUCUUUUGGGAUUAAAGUGCCACUGGAUCCCAGAGUGUGUAUUCUUGGUGUAAACAAUUGUGUACUGGAAACAAAAACAAUAUCUAUAAUGCUUUAUGCUGCUUGCCUUUCCAUACUUCAUGUUUGGAUUAAAGAACACCUUCCUACUUUAACUCUGUGGCGUGAAAAACUUUUUUCACUGUUACCAUACGAAAGACUGCAUAAUGUACUGGAUGGAACCCUGGAUAUUUUUGUAAAUGAUUGGUUUUCCCUUAAAGAUUAUUUAGGAUGUGUUUGGCAAGCAAUAACAUGUAUUGAUUAAUAUGGAUUGUAUGUAUAAUAUGGAUUGAUGGUGUUUUUUUUUAUUAUUUUUUUUUAUUGUUGUUUUAACUAUGUUCUCUUGUUCUUUUUUUCUGUACAUGGUAAGAAAAUAUCAAAAUAAACAGUUAAAAAAAAAAAAAAAUCACAUUUCAAACAGAA
rnacentral:lncRNA from 1 species